UAAUCAAGUUGGAUCAUUGAAGUUAUAAGAGGCAUAUAAGACAUUUGAUUGUCUUUAGUAUAAAACAUAAUAGAGGCACAAAAACACACAAAAAUGCUUGCUGAAUUUAAAGAAAAAGGGGAGGUGUUGUUAAGGCUUCAAAGCUUAAAGGGCAUCCAUAUCCAUCAUUUAACAAUCAUAAUAGCUGUUAGCUAUACUUUUUGUUUUCUCUCUAUUAAAUAAUGGCAG
rnacentral:misc_RNA from 1 species